UCCUUAUCCAGAGAGAGUGCAAAAUAAUCUGCGGCUCCAUGAAGCUCUCACAGUGCGCAAAAAUCCUCCAUGAAUCUUCUCAAGCUUCAAAUUCACCACCAUCUUACCAAACCUUCUCGACUUUCCAGAACCGUCCUUCCUUCCCUCUCCUCCGCUUUCUGUCCGCAUCGCUUUCCCUAUCUCUCUUCUGGUUCACCAACAUCCCUUUCUUGCGAUUUCACCGAUUCCAGAAAUGGACAUAUCAGGGCAUCAACUACCCAGACCCCAACGUGGAGCAGCAAAGAAGAAGAAAGCUCGGAUGAGAGAUAUGAGUACUUGGCGAAAGAUGGGGAGGUUUUUCAGAACACCCUGAGGCUUGUGGAGACUGCUAUGUUUGCUGCUGUUUCUGGGUUAGCCUAUCUCUUGAGCAAUUCUCUUGCAAUUGAGAAUUACUUUGGGUGUUUCUUUGCACUUCCCAUAGUAAUAUCCUCAAUAAGAUGGGGUGUUGUGGCUGGAAGAAAAACAAUGGUGGCAACCGUUGUGCUACUGUUUGUCCUGUCUGGUCCAGUGAAAGCAGUUAACUAUAUGCUUGGUGCAGCUAAUGCAUGGGUUACUUGGUUUUACCAUGGGUUCUUUAUGGAGGUUGCGCGCUAGUUGGACGCGAUCAAUCUUCUUGUGUGCACUUGCUCGGGCAAUUGGUGCUGUAGGGUAUGUGCUAUUAACCUCAUUUUUAAUAGGAGAAAACAUACUCCAGUUGAUUACCAUAAAUAUCCAUGCUUCCCUCUCAUAUGUGCUCACAUCCAUGGGCAGUAAUUCAAUUCCAACAAUGAAUGUCAUAUACACUAUUUUCGGGACUCUGCUUGUUAUCAACUCUGCUUUCUUCGUGUUAUUGCUACACAUUCUGUACGCGAUCUUCUUUGCCAAGUUUAGGAUGAAGGCUUCAUUGAGACUGCCAAAAUGGGUGGAUUUGGCAAUAUAACAGGGAACCCAAAUAUUUUCUUUUCAUUUUGCACAAUUGAUAGAUUAGAGAGAUUCAUAUGCACAAAACUACCAAGAAGGCCAUAUUUCUUUGGUCAAUUUUUUUUUUUUUUAUUACUGUAAUUACUAAAAUGCAAGUGUACACGAUCUUGAAGCCAGGGCAUCAAAUUAUCCUUGAUCACUUGUGCAGUUAUGUACUA